UCAGAUAUAUUUGACCCCAACUCGAUUUGUAAAGUUCUCAAAUUCUGGGCUACUAAAAAGAAGUCUAAUGUUUAUCAGGCCAUUCUACAGAAUCUUGGCUAUCAGAUGAUAUUUCAAGUAAUGAACUGUUUUCCUCCGCAUAUACAGUCUUUCGUUGUGAUCGUCGUUUUGGUCGAGUAAAUCGAACACGUGGUGGUGGAGUUGUUGUUGCAAUAAAAAACUCUUUUUCAGAACAGGGAAGAUAUCCACCAAGAGGAAUGAAUAUUAUGGUUCUCUUGCAAAAGUAUGAUGUUCAACUACUCGAAGAUAGAAGACGGUUGGCAGCAGUUAAAUUUAUAGUUAACAUCGUUCAAGGAAAAGCUGAUGUGCCAGCCAUUUUAUCAAAACUUUCUUUUGCAGUUCCGAGGCUGAACUCAAGGCAGCAUAUAACUUUCAGGAUUUCUACUUUCAGGACAAAUUUAGGAGUAAAUUCACCAAUCAACGUAAUGACAAAACUAAUAAAUGGAGUUAGCAAUGUUUGCGAUGUCAAUUAUGAUGGAAUUAAGAAAAUAC